ACAUCUGUGCUAAAAUUUAUUAGUAUGAUUGUAUUUUUAUUUUAUUCCGUGUGGCAUGGAACGAGCUUAUAGUUCUGGAUAAUUUGUCGGUUACUGAGCAACUUUGUGUCUGAGUGUGCAUGUUCUUCAUUUGUACAAUAUUCAUUAGCAUAUACUAUUCCUAGAAUAUUCUUUUAGUUCGACAAUAUGUGUGGUUUUGUUUAUCUUUUCAUAAUGUUUUACAAAAUGUGUUUUUUCCCCUUCGAAUUAUAGCUGCGAGUUUGCUUAAUUAUCUCGUUCAUGCCUCCCUCAUAUCUAUUUGUCUUUUCAUUGGAUUGACAUCGUGUGUUACUUGGUCGACUUCUUAUGAUUGAUAAAACAGGCAUUGGUGGUGGACAUGAUGCAGCGGAUCUUUUGCACCACUCAUAAGAUGAUUGUCUGGUUAAAUGUGCUAUUGUGAUGUACUAAUUAGCAGGUAUCUAGGAUCACAUUCCGGUGGCUGAGAAGCAGAAAUGGGUUGUGUUCUGUAGGUUCUUGCAUUGUGUACGUUGUGCUCCAUCCAGAAGUUAGCCGUCUUUGCUGGUCACUUGUGAAGUUUGACUUCAGGAAUUUGCCAUCUACUAUCUAAUUUCUUACACAAUCAGUCAACUCGCAUGACGGAUUGACUUCCUUGGAUUAAUGAUUAGUUCAUUUGUGUUAUGCUUUCCAAACAAUCAUGUUGAGGCGGGUCACCUGUGAGUUGUGUUUCAGGUUGAGAUUCCAACAUCAAAUCUUUGCUUAUGUCUUGUACCA